rnacentral:lncRNA from 1 species
GGGGGGAGGGAGGAGAGAGAGAGAGAGAGAGAAGCAAGGGGUAUGCUUUUUGGACCUUGGUUGGGAGCAGCUUUUUGGAAGCGUGAGCAGGAGGAGGGGGAAGUGGAGUUGGGACUGGAAAAGAUAGGAAUUUGCUGCCUCUCAUUUAUUCCCCGGUCUAGCAUUCCCGUUUCACCGUUGGAUCACCCACCGCACAGCUCUCAAAGCGCUGCGAACUCGGCCAUUCAUCCGUCCGCACAGCUCUCAAAGCGACCUGUAGAUGAUCCAACGGUGGAUCUGAGCGAAGAAGGGGAAUCCUUCGUUCGCGCGAAAGAUACGCCCCCGGACCCGUCUCCAAGCUACUCCCAAACCACUUCAAUAUUACAGGACUGCCCUUUCACAGGACAGGGUUGACGCGGGGAGCCGGGUCGUAUCUUCCGCGCAAAAGAAGGAUUCGCGCCAUCGGAUCAUCCACCGAUCGCUUUGAGAGCUGUGCGACCGGAUAAUUGGAGAGUUCGGAGCGCUUCGAGGGCUGUGCGAUGGGUGAACCAACG